GAGUUUGAUCCGUGGCUCAGAACGAACGCUGGCGGCAGGCUUAACACAUGCAAGUCGAACGCAUCGCAAGAUGAGUGGCAGACGGGUGAGUAACGCGUGGGAAUCUACCCAGAUCUACGGAACAACAGUUGGAAACGACUGCUAAUACCGUAUACGCCCUACGGGGGAAAGAUUUAUCGGAUUUGGAUGAGCCCGCGUAAGAUUAGCUAGUUGCGGGUAAAGGCCUACCAAGGCGACGAUCUUUAGCUGGUCUGAGAGGAUGAUCAGCCGCACUGGGACUGAGACACGGCCCAGACUCCUACGGGAGGCGGCAGUGGGGAAUAUUGGACAAUGGGCGCAAGCCUGAUCCAGCCAUGCCGCGUGAGUGAUGAAGGCCUUAGGGUUGUUAAAGCUCUUUCACCGAUGAAGAUAAUGACGGUAGUCGGAGAAGAAGCCCCGGCUAACUUCGUG
rnacentral:rRNA from 1 species